GACGAACGCUGGCGGCGUGCUUAACACAUGCAAGUCGAACGGUGAACCCCUUCGGGGGGGGAUCAGUGGCGAACGGGUGAGUAACACGUGAGCAACCUGCCCCUGACUCUGGGAUAACCCCCGGGAAACCGGAGCUAAUACCGGAUAUGACACCUUCGGGCAUCCGAUGGGUGUGGAAAGAUUUAUCGGUUGGGGAUGGGCUCGCGGCCUAUCAGCUUGGUUGGGUGGGGUGAUGGCCUACCAAGGCGACGACGGGUAGCCGGCCUGAGAGGGCGACCGGCCACACUGGGACUGAGACACGGCCCAGACUCCUACGGGAGGCAGCAGGUGGGGAAUAUUGCGCAAUGGGCGAAAGCCUGACGCAGCGACGCCGCGUGAGGGAUGAAGGCCUUCGGGUU
rnacentral:rRNA from 1 species